ACUCCUACGGGAGGCAGCAGUAGGGAAUCUUCCACAAUGGGCGCAAGCCUGAUGGAGCAACACCGCGUGAGUGAAGAAGGGUUUCGGCUCGUAAAGCUCUGUUGUUAAAGAAGAACACGUAUGAGAGUAACUGUUCAUACGUUGACGGUAUUUAACCAGAAAGUCACGGCUAACUACGUGCCAGCAGCCGCGGUAAUACGUAGGUGGCAAGCGUUAUCCGGAUUUAUUGGGCGUAAAGAGAGUGCAGGCGGUUUUCUAAGUCUGAUGUGAAAGCCUUCGGCUUAACCGGAGAAGUGCAUCGGAAACUGGAUAACUUGAGUGCAGAAGAGGGUAGUGGAACUCCAUGUGUAGCGGUGGAAUGCGUAGAUAUAUGGAAGAACACCAGUGGCGAAGGCGGCUGUCUGGUCUGUAACUGACGCUGAGGCUCGAAAGUAUGGGUAGCAAACAGGAUUAGAUACCCUGGUAGGCAACCG
rnacentral:rRNA from 1 species